GAAAUGCGAUAAGUAGUGUGAAUUGCAGAAUUCCGUGAAUCAUCGAAUCUUUGAACGCACAUUGCGCCCUCCGGCAUUCCGGGGGGCAUGCCUGUUCGAGCGUCAUAAAAACAAACUCGAGCUGAGGUUUCUAGAAACCUUUCGCUUGGUCUUGGAUUUGAGGGUUUUAGACCCCUCGAUCUGAAAUACAGUGGCGAAAUUUGUUCAAGCUGUCGACGUAGUAGAAAUAUAUCCGUUGAGAGUUAAGGGACUUGUUCAGCCAGAACCCCUCUUCAUUACUAGUUUGACCUCGAAUCAGGUAGGGAUACCCGCUGAACUUAA
rnacentral:misc_RNA from 1 species